rnacentral:rRNA from 1 species
UAGCCCGGAGAAAUCCGGAUUAAUACCGCAUACGGCCCUACGGGGGAAAGCAGGGGAUCUUCGGACCUUGCGCUAUUAGAUGAGCCCGNGUCUGAUUAGCUUGUUGUGGGGUAAUGGCCUACCAAGGCGACGAUCAGUAGCUGGCUGAGAGGAUGAUCAGCCACACUGGGACUGAGACAGGCCCAGACUCCUACGGGAGGCAGCAGUGGGGAAUAUUGGACAAUGGGCGAAAGCCUGAUCCAGCAAUGCCGCGUGUGUGAAGAAGGCCUGCGGGUUGUAAAGCACUUUCAGUAGGGAAGAAAAGCCUAAGGUUAAUACCCUUGAGUCUUGACGUUACCUACAGAAGAAGCACCGGCUAACUCCGUG